rnacentral:rRNA from 1 species
GAUGAACGCUGGCGGCGUGCCUAAUACAUGCAAGUCGAGCGAACGGACGAGAAGCUUGCUUCUCUGAUGUUAGCGGCGGACGGGUGAGUAACACGUGGAUAACCUACCUAUAAGACUGGGAUAACUUCGGGAAACCGUAGCUAAUACCGGAUAAUAUUUUGAACCGCAUGGUUCAAAAGUGAAAGACGGUCUUGCUGUCACUUAUAGACGGAUCCGCGCUGCAUUAGCUAGUUGGUAAGGUAACGGCUUACCAAGGCAACGAUGCAUAGCCGACCUGAGAGGGUGAUCGGCCACACUGGAACUGAGACACGGUCCAGACUCCUACGGGAGGCAGCAGUAGGGAAUCUUCCGCAAUGGGCGAAAGCCUGACGGAGCAACGCCGCGUGAGUGAUGAAGGUCUUCGGAUCGUAAAACUCUGUUAUUAGGGAAGAACAUAUGUGUAAGUAACUGUGCACAUCUUGACGGUACCUAAUCAGAAAGCCACGGCUAACUACGUG